UGAGGAAUAUUGCGCAAUGGGCGAAAGCCUGACGCAGCAACGCCGCGUGGAUGACGAAGUUCUUCGGAAUGUAAAAUCCUUUUGCAGAGGAAGAAAAUGCUGGUUUACCGGCACUGACGGUACUCCGCGAAUAAGCCACGUCUAACUCUGUGCCAGCAGCCGCGGUGAUACAGGGGCGGCAAGCGUUGCCCGGAUUUACUGGGUGUAAUGGGUGCGCAGGCGGGCUCAUAAGCCGGGGGUGAAAUCCAUGGGCUUAACACAUGCAUGGCUUCCGGUACUGUGAGUCUGGAGUAUCGAAGAGGGAGAUGGAAUUUCCGGUGUAACGGUGGAAUGUGUAGAUAUCGGAAAGAACACCAGGGGCGAAGGCAGUCUUCUGGGCGAGAACUGACGCUCAGGCACGAAAGCGUGGGGAGCAAACA
rnacentral:rRNA from 1 species